rnacentral:lncRNA from 1 species
CCCCCCUUUCCUUUUUUUUUUUUCCUCCUCUCCCCUCCCUCCCGGCUUCCUUUCUUUGUAGCCACCUCAGGGGAAGCAACAGAUCGUCACUCGGUGUUCUCACCGAAAGCACGUAAUCGCCGGUGUAACUCAUGUUGGCUGGGGGGCCUCCCGGCGCGCGCGGAGAGGCUGGGGUGCGCCCCCAUGCAGCAUGCUUGUGCUCAAUUGCAGGGUCCUCGUUCUCGAGUGUGCAGAGGGCGGUGAGAGCUCAACUCUCGUCCCCACCUCCCACCCGCAGCUCCCCGGGUGGGUGAGGGAUGCCCUGGACUGGGGAUAGCCAGGUGGGAGUCCGUCGCUGUGUGGCCUGUGGUCUCGGAGUCUGUUCUCCUGGAGUCUCGCAUUUGCACCCCCUUCUUCGCAGUCCCCCUCCCAUAGACUUGCUCUGGGAAGCGCCUCUGCCUCCGACCCUAGCCGGAACCCCUUCGGGGCCAGAGUUUGAAGCCGUGGAUGUGCCUGCCUGGUGGCUUGUCCGAUUUGCACGGUGACUUGAUUACACUCUCUCAUUCAUGGUCACUUCCGAAGCGCUUUAGUGCCUUCCGUCCCUAAACCGCCAACAGCCAGAACGGCUUCUCCCCGCGGUUUGUCACUGAUCCGCAGGGCCCGGAAGGGCCUUCGUCUUACCCGGGAUCCACCUCUCCCCUCAUCUUCCCUGCCUACCUCUUCAUCCCACCUUCUGUCCUUGGAGAAACUCCCUCCUCCUCGCUGCCUGCCGGGCUUCGGAGUGACUCGGCAGAGACAGAGGCACAGGGGCUGCCCUGCUGCUCACCGGUCCACCCAUCUGCCUGGUCUUCUGGAGCUGAGGACUCGGGAAACCAUGCAAUUGAGGCAAGCCUUGGGCUGCUUUAGAGGCGCUGACAUCCGAGGAGACUUCUCCUGGGAUUGAAGGAGCAAUGUUUGGAGGAAGCGAAAGAAAGGAGAGGACACAGAGCACAGAGCAGCCAGGCAGAGCCAGGAGCUGAGAAGGGCCCAGACCUGAGGCCUCCCAACAACUCUCUUCUUGGAAGGAUCUGGGAUGUUGCUGAAGGAAAAUAAAAAAAUAUGUAAAAAGAUAACCUUUUGUUUUU